rnacentral:rRNA from 11 species
GCUUGUAGGCUUGUUUUACUAUAAAAAUGCCAAAUUCCAUCUGAUAUUGGAAGCUAAAUGGGAUCAGUCCUUGUUAAUACACGAGUAGGAGACUGCCAAUGAAUAUCACAUCCUGUAGGCA